GCCGCUGUAGCUCAAUUGGUAGAGCAACUGACUUGUAAUCAGUAGGUUGGGGGUUCAAUUCCUCUCGGCGGCA
rnacentral:tRNA from 1 species